AUUGAACGCUGGCGGCAGGCUUAACACAUGCAAGUCGAGCGGGGUGAUGGUGCUUGCACUAUCACUUAGCGGCGGACGGGUGAGUAAUGCUUAGGAAUCUGCCUAUUAGUGGGGGACAACAUCUCGAAAGGGAUGCUAAUACCGCAUACGUCCUACGGGAGAAAGCAGGGGAUCCAUUGUGACCUUGCGCUAAUAGAUGAGUCUAAGUCGGAUUAGCUAGUUGGUGGGGUAAAGGCCUACCAAGGCGACGAUCUGUAGCGGGUCGGAGAGGAUGAUCCGCCACACUGGGACUGAGACACGGCCCAGACUCCUACGGGAGGCAGCAGUGGGGAAUAUUGGACAAUGGGGGGAACCCUGAUCCAGCCAUGCCGCGUGUGGGAAGAAGGCCUUAUGGUUGUAAAGCACUUUAAGCGAGGAGGAGGCUCUUUUGGUUAAUACCCAAGAUGAGUGGACGUUACUCGCAGAAUAAGCACCGGCUAACUCUGUGCCAGCAGCCGCAGUAA
rnacentral:rRNA from 1 species